rnacentral:SRP_RNA from 1 species
GCUGGGCGCAGUGGCGUGUGCCUGUAGUCCCAGCUACUCAGGAGGCUGAGGAUGGAGGAUCGCUUGAGCCCAGGAGUUCUGGGCUGUACGCGUGCUAUACCAAUCGGGUGUCUGCACUAAGUUCAGCAUCAAUAUGGUGACCUCCCAGGAACAGGGGACCAGCAGGUUGCCUGAGGAGGGGUGAACGGGCCCAGGUCAGAAACGAAACAGGUCAAAACUCCCAUGCUGAUCACUAGUGGGAUCAGGCCUGUGAAUAACCACUGCACUCCAGCUUGGGCAACAUAGGGAGACCCUGUCCCUU